UGUUUCGGCUAGGGGGCCAUCCCGGCUUACCAACCCGAUGCAAACUGCGAAUACCGGAGAAUGUUAUCACGGGAGACACACGGCGGGUGCUAACGUCCGUCGUGAAGAGGGAAACAACCCAGACCGCCAGCUAAGGUCCCAAAGUCAUGGUUAAGUGGGAAACGAUGUGGGAAGGCCCAGACAGCCAGGAUGUUGGCUUAGAAGCAGCCAUCAUUUAAAGAAAGCGUAAUAGCUCACUGGUCGAGUCGGCCUGCGCGGAAGAUGUAACGGGGCUAAACCAUGCACCGAAGCUGCGGCAGCGACGCUCAGGCGUUGUUGGGUAGGGGAGCGUUCUGUAAGCCUGUGAAGGUGGCCUGUGAGGGUUGCUGGAGGUAUCAGAAGUGCGAAUGCUGACAUAAGUAACGAUAAAGCGGGUGAAAAGCCCGCUCGCCGGAAGACCAAGGGUUCCUGUCCAACGUUAAUCGGGGCAGGGUGAGUCGACCCCUAAGGCGAGGCCGAAAGGCGUAGUCGAUGGGAAACGGGUUAAUAUUCCCGUACUUGGUGUUACUGCGAAGGGGGGACGGAGAAGGCUAUGUUGGCCGGGCGACGGUUGUCCCGGUUUAAGCGUGUAGGUGUGUGUUCCAGGUAAAUCCGGUUCACUUUAACACUGAGGCGUGACGACGAGGCACUACGGUGCUGAAGCAACAAAUGCCCUGCUUCCAGGAAAAGCCUCUAAGCAUCAGGUAACAUCAAAUCGUACCCCAAACCGACACAGGUGGUCAGGUAGAGAAUACCAAGGCGCUUGAGAGAACUCGGGUGAAGGAACUAGGCAAAAUGGUGCCGUAACUUCGGGAGAAGGCACGCUGACACGUAGGUGAAGUGAUUUACUCAUGGAGCUGAAGUCAGUCGAAGAUACCAGCUGGCUGCAACUGUUUAUUAAAAACACAGCACUGUGCAAACACGAAAGUGGACGUAUACGGUGUGACGCCUGCCCGGUGCCGGAAGGUUAAUUGAUGGGGUCAGCGCAAGCGAAGCUCCUGAUCGAAGCCCCGGUAAACGGCGGCCGUAACUAUAACGGUCCUAAGGUAGCGAAAUUCCUUGUCGGGUAAGUUCCGACCUGCACGAAUGGCGUAAUGAUGGCCAGGCUGUCUCCACCCGAGACUCAGUGAAAUUGAACUCGCUGUGAAGAUGCAGUGUACCCGCGGCAAGACGGAAAGACCCCGUGAACCUUUACUAUAGCUUGACACUGAACAUUGAGCCUUGAUGUGUAGGAUAGGUGGGAGGCUUUGAAGCGUGGACGCCAGUCUGCGUGGAGCCGACCUUGAAAUACCACCCUUUAAUGUUUGAUGUUCUAACGUGGACCCGUUACCCGGGUUGCGGACAGUGUCUGGUGGGUAGUUUGACUGGGGCGGUCUCCUCCUAAAGAGUAACGGAGGAGCACGAAGGUUGGCUAAUCCUGGUCGGACAUCAGGAGGUUAGUGCAAUGGCAUAAGCCAGCUUGACUGCGAGCGUGACGGCGCGAGCAGGUGCGAAAGCAGGUCAUAGUGAUCCGGUGGUUCUGAAUGGAAGGGCCAUCGCUCAACGGAUAAAAGGUACUCCGGGGAUAACAGGCUGAUACCGCCCAAGAGUUCAUAUCGACGGCGGUGUUUGGCACCUCGAUGUCGGCUCAUCACAUCCUGGGGCUGAAGUAGGUCCCAAGGGUAUGGCUGUUCGCCAUUUAAAGUGGUACGCGAGCUGGGUUUAGAACGUCGUGAGACAGUUCGGUCCCUAUCUGCCGUGGGCGCUGGAGAACUGAGGGGGGCUGCUCCUAGUACGAGAGGACCGGAGUGGACGCAUCACUGGUGUUCGGGUUGUCAUGCCAAUGGCACUGCCCGGUAGCUAAAUGCGGAAGAGAUAAGUGCUGAAAGCAUCUAAGCACGAAACUUGCCCCGAGAUGAGUUCUCCCUGAGACUUAGAGUCUCCUGAAGGAACGUUGAAGACGACGACGUUGAUAGGCCGGGUGUGUAAGCGCAGCGAUGCGUUGAGCUAACCGGUACUAAUGAACCGUGAGGCUUAACCUUACAACG
rnacentral:rRNA from 1 species